UACAGAGGGUGCAAGCGUUAAUCGGAAUUACUGGGCGUAAAGCGUGCGUAGACGGUAGCGUAAGUCGGGUGUGAAAGCCCCGGGCUCAACCUGGGAAUUGCAUUUGAGACUGCUCUGCUAGGGUGCGGAAGAGGGGAGCGGAAUUUCCGGUGUAGCGGUGAAAUGCGUAGAUAUCGGAAGGAACACCAGUGGCGAAAGCGGCUCCCUGGUCCAGCACCGACGUUCAGGCACGAAAGCGUGGGGAGCAAACAGG
rnacentral:rRNA from 1 species